AUUACAGUUGCUUGAAUAGGGGAAAGAAGGAUGCCGAUGAUUGAAAAGUGAAGACGAGACAAGGCAGUGAUCUCGAAACAGUGAAGCAAUGGAGCAGUGGAGAUUCAACCUUUCCCCACUGCGCCACCUGCACAAUGCAACAGGCGAGGGCGGCCGGCACUACGGUAGAGGACCUUUAUUCUCUCAAACUCAAGGAAAUUAAUGGCGUUGAAAAGGAUCUACUGAGGCGCGAGAUUUGAAACCCUACACCCUCCUGCCUCCUCCCGCGGCACAGAGACUAAGCUGCCAUCCGCUGCUCGUUACUACAGAGCUCAGUGGUCUUAUCCCUUCAACCAUCGGCAUAUUUGUGGCGGAGCGAGUGACAUCGAUUGUAAUGAAGUGAUUGUGGGACCAGAAUUCCGUCAGAAAAAUGGACCUUGGGGGCGUCCACAACCUGCCUGAUACACCCGCCCGACUCGUCCCCCGAGGCGUGUGCUGAACUCCUCUCCGCCUCACCUGCUUGCUCCCUCACUGCCUUCGUCAUGAAUUUUGGUUCCUGGAAAAUAUAGGCGGGGAGUGGCUGCGAGGAAGAGCUGCUCAAGGAAGGAUGCUUUUUACACAUGUUGUGCCAGGCAGCCUUGUAAGGAAGGAUGCCUCAGCGUGUGAGUAUCUUCCCUGAGGCAGUGAUCGAGUUACGGAGAGGAGAGGGAACGUCGGUCAGGUGCUGGUUGGAGUACUUCCCGUUCUGUGCCUCGCUUAUUGCCUGGGCCUGAGUGGGUCAGUCAGUAUGGACGAGGGUGAGGAGCGAGGCUGCCGUACACUACCCGACAGCUACCUCAGCUACUGAUGGCGAGCACGGGGAACAACAAGCCUGUCUCCGAGGUGUGUUCUAUUCCAGUGAGACAUCGUAGAUACAUUUAUAUCAAAAUACUAAUAUAUUUUUUUAAGGAAGUGGAGUUGGUUGUUGAUUGAUACAGUUUUCUUUAUCAGUGACCGUCCUCAGUUAGCCUUCAUUAAGACAGACGGAAUACUGAUUCGCUUAAUGUUUUUAGGUUGUUGAGGUUUCGUAUUCAGAUAUUUCUUCAUCUAUAGCCUUCAAACAUUCAUGAUGAGCCCAAAGGUGUAUAAUGAACGUGCACACCCCUGCACCGCCACGACUCUCAGACUUACUGGUGUGAGAACUGUCGCGAAUGUUUUACGCGGGCAGUAAUUUAAGAUUAUUGGCGAUUAGCUCUUGAGUGGUUUUUUACUUGUUAUUGUGAAAAGCGUGAAAGGUGACCAAUGAAUGUCCUCGUUGCAUGCUUAUUUAAAAAAGAACAAAAAGCACUUUUAAAGAAGCAACCCUCAGUAGUCUUUAUUGUAGUGUAUUGAUGCAUUCACAAAGUAAUUUCAACUCCUUAUAUUAUUUAAUCUUACUAGUUUCAUGCCCGACGUAUUGUUAUCUUCCAUUAGCUUUCUCAUCCCUUCCUUCAUCAUGAAACGUGCCAUCGAAAUAUACCUUAAAAAAAAAAAAUAUUACGUUCCUUAAUAAAUGACGAGAUACAAUGCUGUCAAAGGUGUGUCAGGGACUCGGAUAAUAAGUAUAUGCAUUUUUUCUACGUGAGAAAGUACACAUGGUAAAAGAUGCAAAUCAAAGUUACAAAACUGAUGUAAACGAUUCCCCUAAAAAAAAAAGUUAACCGAGAAACCGAGAAAGUUCCAAUCGGUCUUUUCUCAGUGUCUGAUAUCGACUCUCAGCAAAAGAAAUUAAGUUCUUCCAACUUAUUAUACUAAACAAGCAUAAAAAAAAAAUAUAUUCUGAGGGAAACUGUGUAAAAAUCGUAUUUUCUUUUGGUGCCAUUUAUAUAAAGCGCUGAUACAAGGUACUAACUAAUAUGCACUGAGCGAUAAGUGUGAGCUGGGAGGGAAUCUCGUGACUUGCAAGUGCUUUUAUAUUCCUGGGUGUCCACGAAAGCUUAAAUGCCACUCACGAUAACACCGACAUGGGUAGCAAGGCAGUAUUUAUUAGACAUGUCGGCAGUUGUCAAUAUGCCCAGCCCUGAAUUCUUCACUGACUAGAGGAAAAAAAAAAAGUCAGGGUAGUAGGCUAUGAUUUAGUGACGAUGUAAGACGGGCUCUCUCCAUGAGACUAACCUGUUCCGUGGAGUUUGACUUGCAAGGGGUUAGGGGCUAAAGAAAUAGUUCAUCCACCACUCAUCGACCACUUACGAGCACGACUUAGACCUCGACCAGCUUUCUCCACCCAAGGGUUCUUGCCAUCUCGUGAUUUCUUUGAGUACUAAAAGAGUGUAGAAUACGACACUGGAUAACUUGUUUAAUUCAAGGCUUCGUAAUUCAAAAGCAAAAACACUGGCUUUCUGCAGGGUCUACACACUAAUUAUUUGUUUUCCCCACCCGGUUUAGCAUCAGUUAUUAAUUAUUAUUACACACGUUUUAAGAAAGCGUUUGCAUAUUAACACUUACUUCCCUAAACUUAAAUAACAAAUACCAAUAACAAAUACCAUCCCUAAACUUUAAAUAAAUACCAAUAACAAAUACCAGACUUUACAAAAUACUGAGAUACAUUGAAGAACGUUUCUUAUAACAAGCAGUAACAAGAAAAAAUUGCUUUCUCCAAUAUCAUUUAAUAUACUAAACCGUAACUGUAUUAGCCCACGGCAGGUCUCUACCCUCCAGGGAAGAACUGCAGAACCGCAGAAAAUAGUGUUUGAACCAAAAGAAGUAGACGCUUCGAUGGCAAUAAUGGGCCAAUGGAUACACAAGAAAAAAGCUAAGAACAACCAGUAAUUGAUUCGAUACAGAGAAGGAAAAAAAUAAAAACAUGACGCUUCUAGGAAUGGCAAGCAACUCUUAACAUACUCAACCACAUGUCCUUGUCAUUUUUCGCAACGGCGACUCGUAACUGACGCAAGUAAUUAAAAUAAGUUUCCAAAGGAUAAGUUUCCAAAGGUCAAGGGAACAAACAUCCUUGUUAGAGACAGCUUGAUAAAACAUUCUUCACGGACGGAAACUGGAAAAAACGGGACGCAGAGCAAAAAUUAUUGCUGCUCUAUGUAUUACGUAUGUACUCUAGUAAUUUGUUGUCUUUCGUUCUUAAACUUGGAAAGGUAAGAAAAAUUUUCAGGUGUCAGUCAGCGUGAGGUGAUUAGAUGUCUCCCGUUCGUACUUCCCAUACCUCAAACAAAUAAAUAAAUGAUUGAGGUGUUAUCUUUUUCAGUGUGGCAGCUGGUGUUCCAGAAAAUGGCAAAGUGGUUUGCGCAUUAUGUUGUAAUUUAUUUUAUACUGGCGUUGAAGCCGUCGUACAUCUUCCUGCCUCCUCCGGCUCCCGAGACCCGCUGCUCGUUAUUACAGAGCUCAGUGCUAAGACCAUAAAUUAAGAAAAAUUGAAUACA